rnacentral:rRNA from 1 species
AAGAACCUUACCUGGGCUUGACAUAUAACUGCACGCCCGUGAAAGCGGGGUUCCUUCGAGGGUGUUAGUCAGGUGCUGCAUGGCUGUCGUCAGCUCGUGCCGUGAGGUGUUGGGUUAAGUCCCGCAACGAGCGCAACCCUUGUGACUAGUUGCCACUCCCAUUUCGGUGGGAAGCACUCUAGUCAGACUGCCCGUGAUAAGCGGGAGGAAGUGGGGAUGACGUCAAGUCCGUAUGGCCUUUAUGCCCAGGGCUGCACACGUGCUACAAUGGAUGGUACAGAAGGACGCAAGACCGCGAGGUGGAGCAAAUCCCCAAAACCAUCCACAGUUCAGAUUGGAGUCUGCAACUCGACUCCAUGAAGCUGGAAUCGCUAGUAAAGGCGUAUCAGCUACGACGCCUUGAAUACGUUCCCGGGCCUU